CAUGGCGCCAAAGCCGGUUCAGAUGUGAAAAUGGUGGUGAAAACUAGGAAAAAGGCUUCACCAUCUCCACGAAACCACUGCUGUAAUAAAAGGCUGAGG